rnacentral:lncRNA from 1 species
CACAUGUGAAGAAAAAGCCAAGCUUUUCUUUGAUAAUAUCUAUUGCUAUCAUGGAUUACCUAAGGAUAUUAAAUUAAAUAGAAGAACUCAAUUUGUAUCAAGAUUUUGAAGAACGCUAUUGUAAUAAGUAAAGUCUUGCUUGAGAAUGUUCCGAGCACCUGAUUGUAGAAAAUAGAAUCAAUAUUGUAACAACAAAAUUCUAAUUCUAAUAGAACACUAACUAAACUCAAAUUAGACCAUAACAAUGCUAAACAAGCUUUAAUCAGUUUUAAAGAAACCUCAAAGGAAUUAUAAAGAAACAAUAAGAAAUCUUAAAGAAAUAUUUGAAUGAUCACAAAUACAUUUCAAAUACAUCUUAAUUCAAUCUUAAUUUAAUCCUAAUUAAAAGCCUAUCGGACUUCAUUCAAACUUUAGGCCAAAAACUAACUAAAUUUUAAUUAAUUCCUAAAUAAAUCCUAAUCAAAUCCUAAUCAAAUUUUAAAUCCUAAAUUAAACCCUAAAAAAAUCCUAAUCCUAAAUCAAAUCCUAACCAAAUUCUAAAUCCUAAAUCAAACCUUAAUCAAAUCCUAAUCCUAAACAAAACCUAAAUUUUAAACCAAAUCCUAAUCAAAUCCUAACCAAAUCUUAAAUCCUAAACUAAAUCCUAACCAAAUCUUACAUCCUAAAUAAAACCCUAAUAAAAUCCUAAAUCCUAAAUCAAAUCCUAAAUUCUAAAUCAAAUCCUAAUUUUAAAUAAAAUCUUAAUUAAAUUCUAAAUUCUAAAUAAAAUCCUAAUGAAAUCCUAAUCCUAAAUCAAAUCCUAAUCAAAUCUUGUUUCUAAUGAAAUCCUAAAUCUUAAAUCAAAUCCUAACCAAAUCCUAAUCAAACCUUAAAAUCUAAACCAAAUCCUAACCAAAUCCCAAAUCCUAAACCAAAUCCUAAACCCUAAAUCAAAUCCUAAUUAAAUCCUAGUAAUUCCUACAAUAGAUUUAAAACUCAAUAACUAAUAAAUGAACCAUUGAUCUUAACUCAAAUUUUCACACUUCUUAACAAUUAAGUUGACAAUAAUUACAAAAAAUUUAAAUAGGAUCGGAAUUACCAAAUAGACAAUAACCUCAAAAACAUGCUCAAGUAUUGGCCGACCUCCUUCUUUGACCUUGAUGUCAAUCUCUCAGAGCCAAUAUCUCUCUUUUUCACCAUUCGAUUGAUUUUAAAAU